rnacentral:rRNA from 1 species
UAGGGAAUCUUCCGCAAUGGGCGAAAGCCUGACGGAGCAACGCCGCGUGAGUGAUGAAGGUCUUCGGAUCGUAAAACUCUGUUAUUAGGGAAGAACAAAUGUGUAAGUAACUAUGCACAUCUUGACGGUACCUAAUCAGAAAGCCACGGCUAACUACGUGCCAGCAGCCGCGGUAAUACGUAGGUGGCAAGCGUUAUCCGGAAUUAUUGGGCGUAAAGCGCGCGUAGGCGGUUUUUUAAGUCUGAUGUGAAAGCCCACGGCUCAACCGUGGAGGGUCAUUGGAAACUGGAAAACUUGAGCGCAGAAGAGGAAAGUGGAAUUCCAUGUGUAGCGGUGAAAUGCGCAGAGAUAUGGAGGAACACCAGUGGCGAAGGCGACUUUCUGGUCUGUAACUGACGCUGAUGUGCGAAAGCGUGGGGAUCAAACAGG